UACGUAGGUGGCAAGCGUUUGUCCGGAAUUAUUGGGCGUAAAGCGCGCGCAGGCGGUCCUUUAAGUCUGAUGUGAAAGCCCCCGGCUCAACCGGGGAGGGUCAUUGGAAACUGGGGAACUUGAGUGCAGAAGAGAAGAGCGGAAUUCCACGUGUAGCGGUGAAAUGCGUAGAGAUGUGGAGGAACACCAGUGGCGAAGGCGGCUCUUUGGUCUGUAACUGACGCUGAGGCGCGAAAGCGUGGGGAGCAAACAGG
rnacentral:rRNA from 1 species